UCUCGGCAACGGAUAUCUCGGCUCUCGCAUCGAUGAAGAACGUAGCGAAAUGCGAUACCUGGUGUGAAUUGCAGAAUCCCGCGAACCAUCGAGUCUUUGAACGCAAGUUGCGCCCGAGGCCAUUCGGCCGAGGGCACGCCUGCCUGGGCGUCACGCUAAACACGCUC
rnacentral:rRNA from 1 species